rnacentral:misc_RNA from 1 species
UCUCCGUAGGUGAACCCGCGGAGGGAUCAUUACAGAGUUCAUGCCCUACCGGGUAGAUCUCCACCCUAUGUUAUUAUUACUUUGUUGCUUUGGCGGGCCGUUAGGCUCCGGCCCGACUACCGGCCCCGGCUGGUAAGCGCCCGCCAGAGGACCCAAAACCCUGAAUAUUAGUGUCGUCUGAGUACUAUAUAAUAGUUAAAACUUUCAACAACGGAUCUCUUGGUUCUG